CACGUAGGGCGCGAGCGUUGCCCGGAAUUAUUGGGCGUAAAGAGCUCGUAGGCGGCCUGUUGCGUCCGCUGUGAAAGCCCGGGGCUUAACCCCGGGUCGGCAGUGGAUACGGGCAGGCUAGAGGUAGGUAGGGGAGAAUGGAAUUCCCGGUGUAGCGGUGAAAUGCGCAGAUAUCGGGAGGAACACCGGUGGCGAAGGCGGUCCUCUGGGCCUUACCUGACGCUGAGGAGCGAAAGCGUGGGGAGCGAACAGG
rnacentral:rRNA from 1 species